GCUGUUCUCUUCCUAAUCUAACAUUACCAAAUCGACGAACUUCACCUCCCUCCUGGACGAGAAAAAUCCCUAAGCUCACCCUUCGAAAUCGAAAUUGGGAGCAUAAUAGGAUGCGAUUCUAACAUUUGGGUUCGUACUCAACUCCGAUUUUGUCAGAUUUUCAUCAACUCUUUCUGGGAAGCCACUCAAUAAUGGGAAUUUGUUUGAUUUCAAACCUACUCACUUAACUAUCAAGUUGCUUCGCCGAUGGUUCGAUUUCGUUGAUCACCGGUGACAAUUGAAGGCAAUGUUUUGGAUUUUAAGACACGUCGAAGUCCAAGAUUUUUGGAUUAAAUAGAUUCACAGUACCAAUUGGAUUCCAGUUUAAUGAAAAGGAAGCAAAUCUACAAAGACGUCGAAAUGCUUACUAUUCGAUGACUGAAUAUGAAAAUGAAGCUUAUCUACAAAAAAGUUUGAAUGCUUAUCGUACGAAGAAAAGAAAAUGUGGUGGGAACACAAUUCAGGGAACAUGAACGAGGUGCAGGAAUAACUCUCAAGGUGAUGGAGUACCUCCCGUGCAGUUCAAGUGGUUAUAACAAUAAGGUGUGACAACAUUUGCCGGAGCCUUAGGAUCAUAAAACAACUUCGGCAUCUAGCAUUAGCAGGUACACUGAUUGAAAGAGGCAAGAAACAUCAACCUAAAACUGACGGAGAAUUGCAUUUUAAGUAAGCACUAUAUUUGUAGUUACCAAAUUUCCUUCAUUAUUUUAGAAAAUGUAAGCACUGUAUUUUCAAUUCAACUUUGAUGUCGUUGCCGAUUCAAGUGGCAGGCACAGUUGCAAAUGCAUCUUUACUAAACUGUCUGUUUUACCAUACCAUCUCGACAUAGGGCACUGUUUUCUCCCAGUUGGAUGCUUAAUGUGAUCACUGGCUUAAACCAGGUCAAGAUUGUCAGCAUCACAUGUGCUUACCGCUUUUGGCCGGAGAAGCAGGCACAUUGUGCGUGCGUUUUCACAUCAUUUUUGGGUGCCAGAUCGCCUUUUCAAGCGGCAGGUAGGCGCAACGCGCGUGCGAUAUUACUAGUAUUAUUAAUAAAAACGAAACCUACUACAUUUAUUGUUAACUAAUUUUUAUAUGAUCUCAAAAGAUCUUGUAAGAUGGUUUGCCUCUGCCAAUUGAUGCUUGGACUUUGGUUUGGUGAAAGAAAAUGUCUUCCUUGUA